CAGUGCUGGGGUUUGUCAGUGAGGACAGGAAGUGUUUAUGAGGGUGUUUGAAAUGGUGGUACAGUUUUCUUCUUAUUCCUAGAGUAUUUAGGAAUGAGUUGCUUUUAACUAACUCUCUGCAAGGAGAUGGACUGAGUAGAGCUUUAGGUAUUAGCCAUGAGGUGUGUGUCUGAGUCUUAUUCUGAACACUUUCUGGCUUGAUCCAUUGACUGUAGUAAGUUAUUUCUCUUUCCCAAGUUGCUACUGGGACAAAAAGGAAGUGGUCGUGUUCCUUCCAGAAGGAAAAUUCUUCUUUUGCUUUUGUGAGCCAUGAGCUGUAGAAGAGUCUGGAUACUCUCACUCCAAGAAAGGCCUUCUUCAGUCCCGUCGCUGUUGGAUUAAGAGUCAUCGAACAGAGAGGAAGGAAGUUGUCUGCCCGCGACAAGGGAGAAGAAUGGACACGGAGGACCUGUCAACCAUUAGCCUCUUGCCAAAGAAACCGUGAAGAAACCGGGGAACUUCUGGGCUGUGGAAGAAUUUUCUGCCCACACAAGAAGUCCUUGAGUGGCCCCUCCCUUAAUUCCAACCUUGGCUUAAUUACUGACAGCAGAAGUUUUUUGUUGUUGUUGUCGUUUCUGGGGAGAAAAG